rnacentral:rRNA from 1 species
UACGUAGGGUGCGAGCGUUGCCCGGAUUUAUUGGGCGUAAAGGGCGCGUAGGCGGUCACGCACGUCCGUUGUGAAAUCGCUCGGCUCAACUGGGCGGGGUCAGCGGAUACGGCGUGGCUGGAGCAAGCUAGGGGGCAAUGGAAUUCCCGGUGUAGUGGUGGAAUGCGUAGAUAUCGGGAGGAGCACCAGUGGCGAAGGCGGUUGCCUGGAGCUUUGCUGACGCUGAUGCGCGAAAGCGUGGGGAGCGAUCCGG